UACGUAGGGUGCAAGCGUUGUCCGGAAUUAUUGGGCGUAAAGAGCUCGUAGGCGGUCUGUCGCGUCGGCUGUGAAAACCCGGAGCUCAACUCCGGGCCUGCAGUCGAUACGGGCAGACUGGAGUUCGGCAGGGGAGACUGGAAUUCCUGGUGUAGCGGUGAAAUGCGCAGAUAUCAGGAGGAACACCGGUGGCGAAGGCGACUUACUGGACACAUAUUGACGCUGAGGUGCGAAAGCGUGGGGAGCAAACAGG
rnacentral:rRNA from 1 species